GACAGAGGGUGCAAACGUUGUUCGGAAUUACUGGGCGUAAAGCGCGUGUAGGCGGCUAUGUAAGUCGGGCGUGAAAUCCCACGGCUCAACCGUGGAAGUGCACCCGAAACUGCGUAGCUAGAGUCCUGGAGAGGAAGGUGGAAUGCUUGGUGUAGAGGUGAAAUUCGUAGAUAUCAAGCGGAACACCGGUGGCGAAGGCGGCCUUCUGGACAGUGACUGACGCUGAGACGCGAAAGCAUGGGGAGCGAACAGG
rnacentral:rRNA from 1 species